AUCGCGAUGGCCGAACCCCGCCUGGCUCCUCCCAGUUCCUCCCAGUGCUCCCAGUUUGCUCCCAGUUCCUCCCAGUGCUCCCAGUUACCCCCUCCCAGUUCCUCCCAGUGCUCCCAGUUACCCCCUCCCAGUUUGGGGGGGCUCAUCCCCCCCUCCCACUUCGUGCUGCGCUCCAGGCCGCUGGGGGCGUGGCUUGAUGGAGAAAAUGGGCGUGGCCACGACCUGGAGGCGGAGCUUAAAGCGCUGAGGGGGCGGUGCCAAGCGCUGGAGGCGGAGCUGAGAGCAGAAAAGGGGCGGAGCCAAGCGCUGGAGGCGGAGCUGAGAGCAGAAAAGGGGCGGAGCCAAGCGCUGGAGGCAGAGCUGAGAGCAGAAAAGGGGCGGAGCCAAGCGCUAGAGGCGGAGCUGAGAGCAGAAAAGGGGCGGAGCCAAGCGCUGGAGGCAGAGCUUAGAGCAGAAAAGGGGCGGAGCCAAACCCUGGAGGCAGAGCUUGAGGCAGAAAAGGGGCGGAGCCAAAUCCUGGAGGAGGAGCUGGAAGUGUGGAGGGGGCGGGGCCUGGGAGCUGAGGGGGCGGAGCCAAACCCGGAACAGGUGAGGCCUCCCCAGGAACUCCCAGGAACUCCCAGUAACCAGGUUUGGGGUCCCCCAGGUGAAUUUUGGGGUCCCCAGGUGAAUUUUGGGGUCCCCAGAUGAUUUUUGGGGUCUCCAGGUGCAGAUUUCGGGGCCCCCAGGUGAAUUUUGGGGUCCCCCAGGUUCAGUUUUGGGGCCCCCAGGUGAAUUUUGGGCCCCCCAGGUAAGUUUUGGGGCUCCCAGGUGAAUUUUGGGGCCCCCCAGGUUCAGUUUUGGGGUCCCAGGUUCAGUUUUGGGGCCCCCCAGGUGAAUUUUGGGGUCCCAGAUGCAGAUUUUGGGGUUCCCAGGUAAAUUUUGGGGUCCCAGGUGAAUUUUGGGGUCCCCAGGUGAAUUUUGGGGUCUCCAGGUGCAGAUUUUGGGGUCCCCAGGUGAAUUUUGGGGUCCCAGGUUCAGUUUUGGGGUCCCCAUGUGAAUUUUGGGCCCCCCCAGGUGAAUUUUGGGGCCCCCAGGUGAAUUUUGGGGUCCCAGGUGUGAUUUUGGGGCCCCCCAGGUGAAUUUUGGGGCCCCCCAGGUAAGUUUUGGGGUCCCAGAUGCAGAUUUUGGGGUUCCCAGCUUUCGUUUUGGGGUCCCAGGUGAGCUUUUGGUGUCCCCAGGUGAAUUUUGGGGUCCCCAGUCCCCAGGUGAAUUUUGGGGUCCCCAUUUCCAUUUUUGGGGUCCCCAGGUGAUUUUUGGUGUCCCAGGUACAAUUUUGGGAUCCCCAGGUGAUUUUUGGGGUCCCAGGUUCAGUUUUGAGGUCCCCAGGUAAAAUUUUGGGGCCCCCCAGGUUCAGUUUUGGGGUCCCAGGUGAAUUUUGGGGCCCCCCAGGUGAAUUUUGGGGUCCCCAGAUGAUUUUUGGGGUCCCAGAUGCAGAUUUUGGGGUCCCCAGGUGAAUUUUGGGGUCCCCAGGUGAAUUUUGGGGUCCCCAUUUCCAUUUUUGGGGUCCCCAGGUAAUUUUUGGUGUCCCAGGUACAAUUUUGGGGUCCCCAGUUGAAUUUUGGGGUCUCCAGGUGCAGAUUUUGGGGUCCCCCUGGUAAAUUUUGGGGCCCCCCAGGUUCAGUUUUGGGGCCCCCAGGUGAAUUUUGGG
ensembl:lncRNA